CAGAGAUAUCAUCCAUCCUAGCUCAUCCUCUAUCUUCUCAUAGUAUCACAAAAUUUUUUCUGUCAAUUAUGGACUUCCUUACGUUCGGAAAUUAAGGUGUCUAUUUCAUUGAAGAAAAAAACCUGAAGAUGAUCAUCGGUUCAUUCUAUUGCAUUCAGAAGCAUUUCCUUUCUCCGACUUUUGCGGAAGUUUUCAGUGAUCAAGUUUGAGGCAACAGAGUGGAAUACUGAUGAAUAAUCAGGAUGAUACAAAGUCAGCUGUAAAACACGUGCAUAAUAAAUACAUCUUGACUACCAUGAACAAUAACAGAGACAAGACAGAGAGAAACACUGGCCGAUACUAAGUAAGCGGAUGCCAGUCAGUGGUAAAACACGAUCUGAGACUAAACAUUAUGAAGAAAUAUGGUAGAAAACAACUCUCGAGUUGUCCAUCGUACAGAGAUGCAUAGAAGCAGGAAUGCUGAGAAGAUCAGCCAUGCACAAAGAGCAGUCCCGGGGUUCCGUAGAAAUAAGUAUCUCCUCGCUGAAGAAAAGCAACACUUCCGGAGUACAGCGUAAAGAGCCGUUGAGACUAUGAGCUGCAGUCAAGUAACUAAGGUCCCUCAGAAGAAUCUAUCUUCUAUAAAAAAAAAAAUGAUUAACUGUGAUAACCAACCAGGCAAAGGAACAGAAGAAGUGCAGUGGAAGCAAUAUAGCAAGAAAUGCAUAAUGGAAGCAGCAACCAAGCAAGAUAUACUGUUUCGGGCACCGCAUUACGUGGACAAAAAGGGAUAUAACCGAAAUGUUUUUAUUGGUGCCAUCUUCCAGAAUUAAAUAACAAAUGGCCUCUUUUAAAUGGCUGCCAAAUGGAACAAAUGGCAAAACAAAUUCGUAACUUGAUAUCUUUUUCUUACCACAAAAACUCUUCAGGAUUUAUGUCAAAUUAUUUAAUUAAUAAAGUCCUUCACUGCUA